GUCAGGAUGGCCGAGCGGUCUAAGUCGCUGCGUUCAGGUCGCAGUCUCCCCUGGAGGCAUGGGUUCGAAUCCCACUUCUGACA
rnacentral:tRNA from 1 species